rnacentral:sRNA from 1 species
CCGCUGUCUUUAGUUCUACAUUGCCCUC